UACGGAGGAUGCAAGCGUUAUCCGGAUUCAUUGGGUUUAAAGGGUGCGCAGGCGGAAUGAUAAGUCAGUGGUGAAAUCCUACGGCUCAACUGUAGAACUGCCAUUGAUACUGUCAUUCUGGAGUACACUUGAAGUGGGCGGAAUGUGUCAUGUAGCGGUGAAAUGCUUAGAUAUGACACAGAACACCGAUCGCGAAGGCAGCUCACUAAAUUGUAACUGACGCUCAUGCACGAAAGCGUGGGGAUCAAACAGG
rnacentral:rRNA from 1 species